rnacentral:rRNA from 1 species
UACGGGGGGAGCAAGCGUUGUUCGGAUUUACUGGGCGUAAAGGCGCGUAGGCGGUCAGCACAAGUCAGUUGUGAAAUCUCCGGGCUUAACCCGGAAAGGUCAACUGAUACUGUGCGACUAGAGUGCGGAAGGGGCAACUGGAAUUCUCGGUGUAGCGGUGAAAUGCGUAGAUAUCGAGAGGAACACCUGCGGCGAAGGCGGGUUGCUGGGCCGACACUGACGCUGAUGCGCGAAAGCCAGGGGAGCGAACGGG